ensembl:snoRNA small nucleolar RNA SNORA76
AGGCACUUCCCUGGAACCUCUGCAAUGCCUGGCCGGUGGCCUCAGGGGUCUGGUGGCCGUGCCAGAGCAAACCUAACUUGCUCAGAUCCAGGGCUGCUUAAAUGCCACUAAGCAGUUCCUUUGGCAGCAAGUGACAGUG